AGAACGAACGCUGGCGGCAGGCCUCAAACAUGCAAGUCUAGGGGGUGCAGCAAUGCAUCACCGGCGGACGGGUGCGUAACACGUGGGAAUAUACCUUUUGGUUCGGAACAACGCAGGGAAACUUGCGCUAAUACCGAAUGUGCCCUUACGGGGAAAGAUUUAUCGCCAAAGGAUUAGCCCGCGUCCGAUUAGCUAGUUGGUGAGGUAAUGGCUCACCAAGGCUCCGAUCGGUAGCUGUUCUGAGAGGAAGAUCAGCCACACUGGGACUGAGACACGGCCCAGACUCCUACGGGAGGCAGCAGUUGGGAAUCUUGGACAAUGGGGGAAACCCUGAUCCAGCCAUGCCGCGUGAGUGAUGAAGGCCUUCGGGUUGUAAAACUCUUUCGACGGGGACGAUAAUGACGGUACCCGUAGAAGAAGCUCCGGCUAACUUCGUGCCAGCAGCCGC
rnacentral:rRNA from 1 species